rnacentral:tRNA from 1 species
UCCCUGGUGGCUCAGACGGUAAAGCAUCUGCCUGCAGUGUAGGAGGACCCGGGUUCAAUCCCUGGGUUGGGAG